rnacentral:rRNA from 1 species
GUAGGUGGCAAGCGUUGUCCGGAAUUAUUGGGCGUAAAGCGCGCGCAGGCGGUUCUUUAAGUCUGAUGUGAAAGCCCACGGGCUCAACCGUGGAGGGUCAUUGGAAACUGGGGGACUUGAGUACAGAAGAGGAGAGCGGAAUUCCAAGUGUAGCGGUGAAAUGCGUAGAGAUUUGGAGGAACACCAGUGGCGAAGGCGGCUUUCUGGUCUGUAACUGACGCUGAGGCGCGAAAGCGUGGGGAGCAAACAGGAUUAGAUACCCUGGUAGUCCACGCCGUAAACGAUGAGUGCUAAGUGUUAGGGGGUUUCCGCCCCUUAGUGCUGCAGCUAACGCAUUAAGCACUCCGCCUGGGGAGUACGGCCGCAAAGGCUG